rnacentral:rRNA from 1 species
UACGUAGGGGGGCAAGCGUUGUCCGGAAUCAUUGGGCGUAAAGCGCGUGUAGGCGGCUCGAUAAGUCUGCUGUGAAAGUCCAGGGCUCAACCCUGGGAUGCCGGUGGAUACUGUCGAGCUCGAGUCCGGAAGAGGCGAGUGGAAUUCCUGGUGUAGCGGUGAAAUGCGCAGAUAUCAGGAGGAACACCAAUGGCGAAGGCAGCUCGCUGGGACGUGACUGACGCUGAGACGCGAAAAGCGUGGGGGAGCAAACAGG